GUGGUUGUAGCUCAGCGGUAGAGCACUCGCCUAACGUGUGUGAGGCACUGGGUUCAAUCCUCAGCACCACA
rfam:Ictidomys tridecemlineatus contig014237, whole genome shotgun sequence.